UUUAAAGUCUGACCUGCCCAAUGAGGAUUUAAAUGGCCGCGGUAUUUUGACCGUGCAAAGGUAGCAUAAUCAUUAGUUUUUUAAUUGGAAGCUGGAAUGAACGGUUGGACGAGGGAAUAACUGUCUCAAUUUAAUUUAAUUAGAAUUUUAUUUUUAAGUAAAAAAGCUUAAAUAAUUUUAAAAGACGAGAAGACCCUAUAGAGUUUAAUAUUUUUAUUUAAUUGGAUUUUUAAGUAUUUAUUUUGUUAAUUAAUUAUAAAUAUUUUGUUGGGGUGACCGAAAAAUUGAAUUAACUUUUUUUUUAUUCAACCAUUAAUUUAUGAGUGAUUGAUCCGUUAAAGAGCGAUUAUAAGAUCAAAUUACCUUAGGGAUAACAGCGUAAUUUUUUUUGAGAGUUCUUAUCGAAAAAAGAGUUUGCGACCUCGAUGUUGGAUUAAAAUUAAUUUUUGGUGUAGAAGCUAAAAUAUUGGGUCUGUUCGACCUUUAAAAUUUUACAUGAUCUGAGUUUAAACCGGCGUAAGCCAGGUUGGUUUCUAUCUUUAAAAAUAUAAUAUAUUUUAGUACGAAAGGACCAAAUAUUUAUAAUAUUUAUUUAUUUUUGAUUAUUAUUAAG
rnacentral:rRNA from 1 species